rnacentral:rRNA from 1 species
CAGAGGCGAUGAAGGACGUGCUAAUCUGCGAUAAGCGUCGGUAAGGUGAUAUGAACCGUUAUAACCGGCGAUUUCCGAAUGGGGAAACCCAGUGUGUUUCGACACACUAUCAUUAACUGAAUCCAUAGGUUAAUGAGGCGAACCGGGGGAACUGAAACAUCUAAGUACCCCGAGGAAAAGAAAUCAACCGAGAUUCCCCCAGUAGCGGCGAGCGAACGGGGAGCAGCCCAGAGCCUGAAUCAGUAUGUGUGUUAGUGGAAGCGUCUGGAAAGGCGCGCGAUACAGGGUGACAGCCCCGUACACAAAAAUGCACAUGCUGUGAGCUCGAUGAGUAGGGCGGGACACGUGGUAUCCUGUCUGAAUAUGGGGGGACCAUCCUCCAAGGCUAAAUACUCCUGACUGACCGAUAGUGAACCAGUACCGUGAGGGAAAGGCGAAAAGAACCCCGGCGAGGGGAGUGAAAAAGAACCUGAAACCGUGUACGUACAAGCAGUGGGAGCACGCUUAGGCGUGUGACUGCGUACCUUUUGUAUAAUGGGUCAGCGACUUAUAUUCUGUAGCAAGGUUAACCGAAUAGGGGAGCCGAAGGGAAACCGAGUCUUAACUGGGCGUUAAGUUGCAGGGUAUAGACCCGAAACCCGGUGAUCUAGCCAUGGGCAGGUUGAAGGUUGGGUAACACUAACUGGAGGACCGAACCGACUAAUGUUGAAAAAUUAGCGGAUGACUUGUGGCUGGGGGUGAAAGGCCAAUCAAACCGGGAGAUAGCUGGUUCUCCCCGAAAGCUAUUUAGGUAGCGCCUCGUGAAUUCAUCUCCGGGGGUAGAGCACUGUUUCGGCAAGGGGGUCAUCCCGACUUACCAACCCGAUGCAAACUGCGAAUACCGGAGAAUGUUAUCACGGGAGACACACGGCGGGUGCUAACGUCCGUCGUGAAGAGGGAAACAACCCAGACCGCCAGCUAAGGUCCCAAAGUCAUGGUUAAGUGGGAAACGAUGUGGGAAGGCCCAGACAGCCAGGAUGUUGGCUUAGAAGCAGCCAUCAUUUAAAGAAAGCGUAAUAGCUCACUGGUCGAGUCGGCCUGCGCGGAAGAUGUAACGGGGCUAAACCAUGCACCGAAGCUGCGGCAGCGACGCUUAUGCGUUGUUGGGUAGGGGAGCGUUCUGUAAGCCUGCGAAGGUGUGCUGUGAGGCAUGCUGGAGGUAUCAGAAGUGCGAAUGCUGACAUAAGUAACGAUAAAGCGGGUGAAAAGCCCGCUCGCCGGAAGACCAAGGGUUCCUGUCCAACGUUAAUCGGGGCAGGGUGAGUCGACCCCUAAGACGAGGCCGAAAGGCGUAGUCGAUGGGAAACAGGUUAAUAUUCCUGUACUUGGUGUUACUGCGAAGGGGGGACGGAGAAGGCUAUGUUGGCCGGGCGACGGUUGUCCCGGUUUAAGCGUGUAGGCUGGUUUUCCAGGCAAAUCCGGAAAAUCAAGGCUGAGGCGUGAUGACGAGGCACUACGGUGCUGAAGCAACAAAUGCCCUGCUUCCAGGAAAAGCCUCUAAGCAUCAGGUAACAUCAAAUCGUACCCCAAACCGACACAGGUGGUCAGGUAGAGAAUACCAAGGCGCUUGAGAGAACUCGGGUGAAGGAACUAGGCAAAAUGGUGCCGUAACUUCGGGAGAAGGCACGCUGAUAUGUAGGUGAAGUCCCUCGCGGAUGGAGCUGAAAUCAGUCGAAGAUACCAGCUGGCUGCAACUGUUUAUUAAAAACACAGCACUGUGCAAACACGAAAGUGGACGUAUACGGUGUGACGCCUGCCCGGUGCCGGAAGGUUAAUUGAUGGGGUCAGCGCAAGCGAAGCUCUUGAUCGAAGCCCCGGUAAACGGCGGCCGUAACUAUAACGGUCCUAAGGUAGCGAAAUUCCUUGUCGGGUAAGUUCCGACCUGCACGAAUGGCGUAAUGAUGGCCAGGCUGUCUCCACCCGAGACUCAGUGAAAUUGAACUCGCUGUGAAGAUGCAGUGUACCCGCGGCAAGACGGAAAGACCCCGUGAACCUUUACUAUAGCUUGACACUGAACAUUGAGCCUUGAUGUGUAGGAUAGGUGGGAGGCUUUGAAGUGUGGACGCCAGUCUGCAUGGAGCCGACCUUGAAAUACCACCCUUUAAUGUUUGAUGUUCUAACGUUGACCCGUAAUCCGGGUUGCGGACAGUGUCUGGUGGGUAGUUUGACUGGGGCGGUCUCCUCCUAAAGAGUAACGGAGGAGCACGAAGGUUGGCUAAUCCUGGUCGGACAUCAGGAGGUUAGUGCAAUGGCAUAAGCCAGCUUGACUGCGAGCGUGACGGCGCGAGCAGGUGCGAAAGCAGGUCAUAGUGAUCCGGUGGUUCUGAAUGGAAGGGCCAUCGCUCAACGGAUAAAAGGUACUCCGGGGAUAACAGGCUGAUACCGCCCAAGAGUUCAUAUCGACGGCGGUGUUUGGCACCUCGAUGUCGGCUCAUCACAUCCUGGGGCUGAAGUAGGUCCCAAGGGUAUGGCUGUUCGCCAUUUAAAGUGGUACGCGAGCUGGGUUUAGAACGUCGUGAGACAGUUCGGUCCCUAUCUGCCGUGGGCGCUGGAGAACUGAGGGGGGCUGCUCCUAGUACGAGAGGACCGGAGUGGACGCAUCACUGGUGUUCGGGUUGUCAUGCCAAUGGCACUGCCCGGUAGCUAAAUGCGGAAGAGAUAAGUGCUGAAAGCAUCUAAGCACGAAACUUGCCCCGAGAUGAGUUCUCCCUGACUCCUUGAGAGUCCUGAAGGAACGUUGAAGACGACGACGUUGAUAGGCCGGGUGUGUAAGCGCAGCGAUGCGUUGAGCUAACCGGUACUAAUGAACCGUGAGGCUUAACCUU